UACAGGGGGGGCAAGCGUUGUUCGGAAUUACUGGGCGUAAAGGGUUUGUAGGUGGCCACUUAAGUCAGACGUGAAAUCCCUCAGCUUAACUGGGGAACUGCGUCUGAUACUGAGUGGCUUGAGUGCAGGAGAGGAACGCGGAAUUCCAGGUGUAGCGGUGAAAUGCGUAGAUAUCUGGAGGAACACCGGUGGUGAAGGCGGCGUUCUGGACUGUAACUGACACUGAAAAACGAAAGCCAGGGGAGCAAACGGG
rnacentral:rRNA from 1 species